GGGACCUCCUGAACCUCUUGAGUCCUGCAGUGGAGUGAGAUGAACCUCUGCAGCUCCUACUGUGAGGAUGCUUAGGCGAUCACCAACACCAGCUCCUUGGUGUUGGUGUUCAGCAGAAGACUGUUCUUAUUACUGCAGUCAGUUAAAUAAAUCUAUCAUAAUAAAGUACAUUUUAACAUAAUGACCUUAUGUUUAUUUAUGUCUUUUAACCAUUAUUUCAAAUUCAAAGAAUCCUGUUUGAAACAUUUAUUAAACUUAUAGAAUUAAAUUUCUGCUAGUUGCUUUUUGUUGCAAAAAAAUCUAGUAUAAUAAUAUUUAAAUUUACAUAUAUUUUUCACGUUUUCCAUGCCAAUUUUGUGUAAUUGCGGAGUUUCCCACUACCCGUGAAUGCCUCUUUUUUUAACGUCUCUGCCUGACUCCUGAAUCUCCGUCCACUCUCAGCUCGAUCCCCACCGAGUGAAAGAGAUCUUUGGUUUUGCCUUUGCUGACUGCUGAUCUGAUCGUCUCCAGUCUGGUGACCUGCUGCAGAAAACCCUCUCCCUCUAUCAUUAACAAGCCAUUAACAAGCAAAUUCAGUCUGUCCUAUCACUCUCCCUCUCCCUGCUCCAUCUUUUUUGACAAGCCAUUCUAUCUUCUAUCCAUUCUCCGCCAUGUACUCUAUCUAAUUUUGACAAGCAUAAGCCCUAGUUUGACAAGAAACCAAGUUUGACAACAAACCAAGGUUGACAACAAACCAAGUUUUUGGAAAUUGAAGUUACCGCAACUUCGACGAUCUGUUUUCAGAAAUCUGAGAGAUCUCUGCUCUCACUGCUCCUUCUUUCCUGUCGUUAAACUCUCUCAUAUCCACUCAUUUUACUGGAAAUUACAAGUAAGAAGUUGAAUAUACAGUAUAGUAGAAGUCACUGUAGAAACUACUUACACAGCCCUACAUUUGUCAUUUUAAUUUUGCAUUACACUUUGGAAUAAACAUUGAUUGGCUUACAGGUGCAAUUGCUUUGAUAAAUUAUAUAAAAUAUACACCUCUUAAAGGUUUAUUUGUAAUAAGACAAUCUGGUUAUUUUGUAAUAUAUACAUUCAGACUGCUCUAUUUACAUAAAUAUUAAAUUAGAUUCAAAUACAUUUUUCAAGUCUGUUUCAUUGACUAUAACAUUUGACUACAGUAAGUUUAUACUAAUAUUAUUUAAGGACAAACCCAUUUCUAUUACUCAGUGUAAGUAUUGAGUUACAAUUGUCAUUGAGAAGCUGCCCUGAGGACCCAGACUUCCUGUUUCCUGACUGCUGCAGAACAUCCAGCUGAAGAAUCCUCAUCGCCUGUCAUCUGAUCACCACACCACCACAGCUCCAUAUAUUUGCUUUAAAUUUUAGAUAUCUGAAAGAUUUACACAAAGUCUACUUCAAAGCUAAGACUUUUAUUAUAGCCUGUUGAUUGUUGAGAUUUAUUCUGCAUAUUACUUCACAGAAGUAUAGACCUAUUCAUUAACCAGUCUGGUUAAAAAAAAGAAGUAAUAAUAUACAGUUGUUGAAAAAGCUACAAUAAAACGUUUUUAAGGAUCUUUCAAUAACUUUUAUAUUGAGUUUGUAUUUAAGCCAGCCUUUUACAUCAAUUAAACGGUCAUAAGAACA
ensembl:lncRNA